CAAGCCCUCAGGGAGGGUAUAUCACCCAAUUGAAAUAGUACCAGAGCUCAAUCCGCAACCCGGAGCAAGAUCGACGCAAUGAUGAGUGACAACGAUGCCGUAUAUACUAUGCCUGUCGAUGGGGACGACGAUCCACAGCAACCGUUGCGCUCAAAGAUAUACAGAGUCUUCGAUAUAGACAAUCGCAGUGCCUGCUGUAGACAUUCCCUGUUGGGAC
rnacentral:lncRNA from 1 species